CAGAGGAUUAUCAAAUUAUGUAGAACAUCGCUAUCAGCCAGGACAUUUGUCAGCCAUCUGGUCUGCAUCUGAGAUGCUGUCUACAUUUUACUGUCCAUCCAAAAAUAAAGACUAUACUGUCUUCACAAUCCCUGUCAAUGUAUAAUGUUGGAUAUCCUGCCCUGGAAUAAGAAGCACAUAAGUAACGAACAUGACUAACACACAGUAUCGGAUUUGGAUCGGGCUCGUCGGACCGAUACCUGAUCCAUUUAAAAACAUCAGUAUCGGAGCCGAUACCGAUCCAGGUAUCGGAUCGGUGCAUCCCUAUAAAGAAGUGACAUCUUUUUGUUCCUUGAAUAUUUUCUGCUAGACGCAAACUCAGACUGCAUUCCAAAUGGGAUAAAUCACCCUCCAAAAGGCACU